rnacentral:lncRNA from 1 species
AUUUAAAGUUAAACUCCUUAACAUCACAUAAACUAGCACUAUCACCAUAGAGAUGGGAAGGAGGUACUCUCCUUGAAACUAGUGCUAUUGAUGAGUCACACAGUGUAAAUUGUUCCUAUCCAUUGAAUCUUCUUCAUAGGAUUUCCAAUCAUAAAUGUUGGGUUAUCCCUAUUGGUGACUUCUUUAUGGGCUUAAGCCUAUCUCCCUUGAUGACUUAGAUAUAUCCUUCUUUGAUAAAGCUUUAGUCAAAUUAUCUAUCAAAUUUUUUUCUGAUUUCACAAAAUCAAGAGAUAUAACAUUUCUUUUUAGUAAUACUCUAAUAGACUUAUAUCUUACUUGUAAGUGUCUAUUCAUUUUCUUAUUAGUAUA